CAAGGGAGAGUUGCUUGUAGGACUGAGAUACGAGGCUGGGGAAGCUGAAGCUCGCGACAGGGUCUUUUUUCCUUUCUGCAAGGAGCAGCAGCCAGUGCAUUUACAGUGCAACAGUCAGCACAGUGCAAAUACCAAUAGGAAUACAAAGUCCCACUCACUGAUUUAAUUGUAUUGCGUUCCCUCUGUGCAAAGGAACACCCCUCCCUCCAGCUUCAACUCUUCCAUGACCCCCUCCCUCCAGUCUUAUUUUUUUACUGCUGCUUCUCUGGAAAGAUUUUUUUACUGUUAAACAGGGUGGGUGGGAGGUAAUAAGAAUAUACAUUUUUCUUAUAAUUCCCCCAACUGCAAAAUAUAGAUGAUUAAAAUUUCCAG
rnacentral:lncRNA from 1 species